GAUGAACGCUAGCGAUAGGCUUAACACAUGCAAGUCGAGGGGUAACGUGUUGGAAGCUUGCUUCCGAUGACGACGACCGGCGGAUGGGUGCGUAACGCGUAUGCAACUUGCCUCACAGUGGAGAAUAACCCGGAGAAAUCCGGACUAAUACUCCAUACACUCUUAAGUACGCCUGUACAUGAGAGGAAAGAUUUAUCGCUGUGAGAUAGGCAUGCGUCCUAUUAGGUAGUUGGUGAGGUAACGGCUCACCAAGCCGACGAUAGGUAGGGGUGCUGAGAGGCAGAUCCCCCACAUUGGGACUGAGACACGGCCCAAACUCCUACGGGAGGCAGCAGUGAGGAAUAUUGGUCAAUGGAGGAAACUCUGAACCAGCCAAGUCGCGUGAAGGAAGAACGUCCUAAGGAUUGUAAACUUCUUUAGCGAGCGAGUAAGGACUUCCACGUGAUGGGAGUUUGAAAGUAGCUCGAGAAUAAGUAUCGGCUAACUCCGUG
rnacentral:rRNA from 1 species